rnacentral:rRNA from 1 species
GACGAACGCUGGCGGCGUGCCUAACACAUGCAAGUCGAACGAAGUGGCGAACGGGUGAGUAACGCGUAAUCAACCUGCUCUUCAGAGGGGGACAACAGUUGGAAACGACUGCUAAUACCGUACACUGAAGGAGGGGAUUGCGUCUGAUUAGCUAGUUGGAGGGGUAACGGCCCACCAAGCCGAUGAUCAGUAGCCGGUCUGAGAGGGUGGACGGCCACAAUGGGACUGAGGCACGGCCCAGGCUCCUACGGGGAGCAGCAGGGGGGGAUCUUCCGCAAUGGACGGAAGUCUGGCGGGACAACUCCGCGUGGGUGAUGACGGCCUUCGGGUUGUAAAGCUCUGUUAAUCGGGGCGCGGUACCGAAAUAGAAAGCCACGGCUAACUACGUGCCAGCAGCCGCGGUAAUUC